AAGGGCUACAAGUUUUAUGUUUUGGUCAAGAGCUAAAUCAUCUUUUAUCAUCAAGAAAAGUUCAGUUGAAGUUGACGCAAAAUCGGAGCAGAGCUGGAAAUUGAACAAAAGUGUACCAAAAUGUCACUGUAGCAAUCCGGUCGGAACUUAGCCGGAUUUCUGGCCGGAUUGUGGUCAGAGAAGGCUGCUCUUUACGCGGAAAACUUAUUUUCACCUCCAACAAGUCACAUGCAAUGCCAGACAUGUGAGAACUACUUUGCAGCUGUAAAAGGGUGGUGUAGGCCUCAUUUUCUUGAUUUCUUUCAUCUUUAUAUAGCCAAAACUUGCAAGAUUGAAAGAAGAAUAGAGAGACAUACGGGAGAACUUGGAGAGUGCAGAGAUGUAACUCUUACAUCUUUUGAGUGUUAGAUUAGUUUUAAUAUAGAUUAGUAUAGUUCAUCCAUUCUUGUAUAUUGGCUAGACUAGGAUGAAGAUGGAAAUGAAGAAGGAGGAGUUGAAGCUCAAGUGACAUGGGAAUGUGAUGCAGUGGCAGAAGAUUAUUUCUUUGCAUACCCUGACCAGGUCACCUAAAAUAAAUGUACAGACUGAUUUUUUUGGGGGUUACAAAUUUGUAUAUUAUUUGGUUGAAUGGCUACCCACAUCAAAGUAUUCAGAUAAUAUAAAGUUCAUAAGUUCACAAAAAAUAUCCAAAAGAUUAAGGGAGAAAAAAUAUCCAAAAGAUUAAGGGAGUCAUGGAUUUGAUGAAUGUCUGAUAUGAAUCUUGGGUUGACUUGGUUUAUUAUCAUAUUAAAUUUCACUUUUAGACA